ACGCAUGCGUGCAAGAUCCCAGGGCAUAGCCGCUUGUUCUCCGCCAGCGGUGGACAAGCUGCGUAACGGUUCACACACUGAUGGCGCCUGGAGGUUUGGCGAAAUACUGACAGGAUGCGGCGCCAACGGGAGCGUAGGGCCAAGAUACCCUUUAUAUCAAAUUGUCUAUCCUGGAGCAGAAAAAUCCUGUCUUCAUUGCUAUAGCUACAGAUUCAGAAAUGAGCAUGUAACAAAUUCAGGCCAAAGAGAGGCAAAGGAAAUCAGAGAAACACUGCUCCUGAAAGCUUCUGUCACUCAAGAAUCCAUGAAACAUUCAUGAAGUUCACAUCAGAGUCCUCAGAAGGGAAGAUAGUGUUAAUGUAGAAUUGAUAACACAGAAUGCAGCACUGCUGUGAUCCUUAUAUCUUGGCUGGCCAUCACCUCUUCACUUGGAAAUGAAAAAAAUAAACUGAGUGAAGUAGUGAGAAGAGAAAAAGGGAGAGGAAGGUGCUAUUGUGGAGGUGCAUACCUAACAGUUUGAUAAUGUAGAGGAAGUGAUAGCUUUGUCUGGUGGAAUCUGGGUAAACCUC
rnacentral:antisense_RNA from 1 species